AAUCCAUGGUUGGGACAUUUCCUCAACAAUAUCUGGAAACGUUCCCAAGCCUCAUAAAAUGCCUCUUCUAUACCUUGUCUGAAUGUUGAGAUCUCAAAUUUGGCUU
rfam:Lupinus angustifolius cultivar Tanjil chromosome LG02, whole genome shotgun sequence.